rnacentral:rRNA from 1 species
GACGAACGCUGGCGGCGUGCUUAACACAUGCAAGUUGAACGGUAAGGCCCUUCGGGUACACGAGUGGCGAACGGGUGAGUAACACGUGGGUGAUCUGCCCUGCACUUCGGGAUAAGCCUGGGAAACUGGGUCUAAUACCGGAUAGGACCAUGGACUUCACGGUUUGUGGUGGAAAGCUUUUGCGGUGUGGGAUGGCCCGCGGCCUAUCAGCUUGUUGGUGGGGUAAUGGCCUACCAAGGCGACGACGGGUAGCCGGCCUGAGAGGGUGUCCGGCCACACUGGGACUGAGAUACGGCCCAGACUCCUACGGGAGGCAGC